rnacentral:rRNA from 1 species
AUUGAACGCUGGCGGCAUGCUUUACACAUGCAAGUCGAACGGUAACAGGCCGCAAGGUGCUGACGAGUGGCGAACGGGUGAGUAAUGCAUCGGAACGUGCCCAGUCGUGGGGGAUAACGCAGCGAAAGCUGCGCUAAUACCGCAUACGAUCUAUGGAUGAAAGCGGGGGACCGAAAGGCCUCGCGCGAUUGGAGCGGCCGAUGUCAGAGUAGGUAGUUGGUGGGGUAAAGGCUCACCAAGCCAACGAUCUGUAGCUGGUCUGGGAGGACGACCAGCCACACUGGGACUGAGACACGGCCGAGACGCCUACGGGAGGCAGCAGUGGGGAAUUUUGGACAAUGGGCGCAAGCCUGAUCCAGCAAUGCCGCGUGCAGGAAGAAGGCCUUCGGGUUGUAAACUGCUUUUGUACGGAACGAAAAGGCUCUGGAUAAUACCUGGGGCUCAUGACGGUACCGUAAGAAUAAGCACCGGCUAACUACGUGCCAGCCGCCGCCGUAAGAC